rnacentral:rRNA from 1 species
CACGUAGGGCGCGAGCGUUGUCCGGAAUUACUGGGCGUAAAGGGCUCGUAGGCGGCCAACUAAGUCAGACGUGAAAUCCCUCGGCUUAACCGGGGAACUGCAUCUGAUACUGGAUGGCUUGAGUUCGGGAGAGGGAUGCGGAAUUCCAGGUGUAGCGGUGAAAUGCGUAGAUAUCUGGAGGAACACCGGUGGCGAAGGCGGCAUCCUGGACCGACACUGACGCUGAGGAGCGAAAGCCAGGGGAGCAAACGGG